rnacentral:rRNA from 1 species
CCUACGGGAGGCAGCAGUGGGGAAUAUUGGGCAAUGGAGGCAACUCUGACCCAGCAACGCCGCGUGAAUGAUGAAGGUCUUCGGAUUGUAAAGUUCUGUGAUGGGGGAUGAACACAAUGACGGUACCCCAAUAGCAAGCCACGGCUAACUACGUGCCAGCAGCCGCGGUAAUACGUAGGUGGCGAGCGUUAUCCGGAUGUAUUGGGUUUAAAGGGUGCGUAGGCGGAAUGCCAAGUCAGCGGUAAAAUCGCGGGGCUCAACCUCGCUGCGCCGUUGAAACUGGCGUUCUUGAGUGGGCGAGAAGUAAGUGGAAUUAGUGGUGUAGCGGUGAAAUGCAUAGAUAGAAGGCAGAACUCCGAUUGCGAAGGCAGCAUACCGGCGCCCAACUGACGCUGAGGCACGAAAGCGUGGGUAUCGAACAGGAUUAGAUACCCUGGUAGUC